GUGUCAGAGCAGCCCUAGGGCUUGCUCAGAGCAGGAGCACCCUCAUGGCUGAGACAUUUGUCAGUGGGCAGCUCUAUACUGACAAAUGCCUUGUUUUUUUCUAGUGUUGGAGCACAGCCUGCAAAUUUGCAUGGCGGUGCUACAAUGAGUAAGGAACUUUCUGCUGCAGUUAUCGCUGCUAUUACCGUUUAUUAUUCCGGCUAUUACCUGAGUCAACUGGCACGUCAUCUGAUCCGUUCACACAGACGGGCUGAUCAUGAGAGCACAGAAACAACACCCGUCUCUCUGCUGGCGCCCUCUGCUCCUGCAGAAGAAGCCCAAGAGGAGCAAAUUGAGGGAUAUGACCGCGAGCCUCCAUCGCCGGUCACACCAGAGACGGAAUAUUCCGAGCCUGU